AAGCAAUUUGCUCAUAGCCAUAGCUUUCUUGUGAAAGUAGGAUAUUAACCCAGGUGUCUUGGUGCUGGAGAACAGAACUGGCCAGAGUCCAUCCUGUCUCCCACCGGCAUCCCAUUACGAAAUGAACACAGAAAAGGCAGGUCUGCAAUGCCAACAUCUAGUAUCUAUCCCAAAGACCAGGGAGAAAGGAAGGAAAGAUUCUGGUUCUGUCCUCUUCCCCAAGGCAAGGCUGGCUGCCCUACCAACAGAGGCAAAGAGAAGAGUGUGCAAGGCUGGCUGCCCUCCCAACAGAGGCAAAGAGGAGUGUGUGUUGAAAUAUCCAUUGAAUCCCUGAGACAACUGGAUCCUGGCCCAUUGAAUCAUAAACUCAUUUCAGAGAAGAUGAAACUGAUGUGCGUCAAAAAGUUAUGGAGGCUGGGAAGACCUAGAAUGUGGCAUCACUAUUUGGUUAUUUAGAAAAUUGUUACCUCAAAAAUGACCUAGGGGUCCUUAGAAUAAUAACACACAGAAGAAUAGCCUCAUUUUUCUGUUGGGCCCAGGAAACCAUGCCGAUUACCGACCGAGCUCUCAAUGGAAAAAUGCAGUCGGCGUGAACCACGCACGAACACAGCAGAGAAAGAAGAAAACACACACCACGAGGAACCCUAAUAGGACAAUACAUUAUAAGUCACAGUGCUACGGAGAAACCCAGUAGCCACAUGGAAGCAGAGACCAUGCAUAUGCAUCUACUCCGCAGCUCUGUGAAUGUCAGCAGCUCCCACGGACUGGAGAUCCCGUGAGAUCCCGUGAGAUCUCACCCAUAGCCUCAUGGUACAUCCACUUGGUGUGCUGGGAGAGUCAGGAUGAGGACCUGAGAAGAACAGCAGCUUGAACCUGACUUCAUUUAACAGCCCACUGCCCUCUUGCCAAGAACCCAUCACAGACCUUCCCAGAAGAGAGGGAUGAGCCUCACCUAUGAAUAAGUCCUCAGAAACUCAAAUUUGAUUCUAAUGGAUUGUUUUCUCAGAAAGACUGAGCAUGUCCCCCCACAUCUCUGUCAUUUCCCACAGUAGUAACCUCUGCAGAUGCCACAUAGAAAACAAAACAAAACAAAAAAACAUGAGGUUGGUGGGCAGAUAGGCAGGGUAUAAACAAACAGCCUUGUAACCCAGAAGCUGUGUGAUAUACAGUAAACUUCACAACACUGAAAAGAUGUCCUAUCUGUUAAAAUGGGGUAAUAACAACUACCCGAAUGUUUAGGAAUAGAACUUCAAUAAAUGAUACAUUUUAUAGUACAGCAGACCAUCCUGUAAAGGUUUCAUCCUUCACUGUGGUGAUAAAUAUCCCAAACCACAUUGAAAAGCAUUGCAUCUACAUUUAUCUACACUGUAACUGUACUGUAAAUCAUGGGGGAGGGGAGAAUCAUAAAAACACCACCUGUCACCGUGUCAUUAAAGCAAGUUGGAAGUGAUACUUACAGAAACACAGCAAGAGCACCCCCAGUCACACAGUUCAAUCUCUUAGCAAGCGUUUUCUUUCUAGCCCAGUGGUUCUCAGUUUGGAAUUUUUGGCACUGCCUAGAGAUAGUUUUGUUGUUAAAACUGAGAAAAGAGCCGGGCGUGGUGGCACACGCCUUUAAUCCCAGCACUCAGGAGGCAGAGGCAGG
rnacentral:lncRNA from 1 species